UACGUAGGGCGCAAGCGUUGUCCGGAAUUAUUGGGCGGAAAGGGCGCGUAGGCGGCUUGGCAAGUGGAAGGUGAAAUCCCUCGGCUUAACCGAGGAACUGCCCUCCAAACUGCUCUGCUUGAGGCCGGGAGAGGCGAGUGGAAUUCCCAGUGUAGCGGUGAAAUGCGUAGAUAUUGGGAAGAACACCAGUGGCGAAAGCGGACUUCUGGGUUGUUACUGACGCUGAGGUACGAAAGCGUGGGGAGCAAACGGG
rnacentral:rRNA from 1 species